AUACGUAGGGUGCAAGCGUUAAUCGGAAUUACUGGGCGUAAAGCGUGCGCAGGCGGUUUUGUAAGACAGUGGUGAAAUCCCCGGGCUCAACCUGGGAACUGCCAUUGUGACUGCAAGGCUGGAGUGCGGCAGAGGGGGAUGGAAUUCCGCGUGUAGCAGUGAAAUGCGUAGAUAUGCGGAGGAACACCGAUGGCGAAGGCAAUCCCCUGGGUCUGCACUGACGCUCAUGCACGAAAGCGUGGGGAGCAAACAGGAUUAGAUACCCUGGUAGUCCACGCCCUAAACGAUGUCAACUGGUUGUUGGGGAUUUAUUUUCUCAGUAACGAAGCUAACGCGUGAAGUUGACCGCCUGGGGAGUACGGCCGCAAGGUUAAAACUCAAAGGAAUUGACGGGG
rnacentral:rRNA from 1 species